ACUUAACAGAACAAAAGAAUUGGAAGGGACCUGCUCCGAAGUCCAAAAAGAGCAUUUUUCCUCAAGUUUUGAAGGCUACAGUAAAAUCCUACAAGACGGACAGAGAAAUUAACCUCUGUGUUUGGCAUCUGCUGCUAAGCGGAGACCACAAACCCCAUCAUCCCCCAUCCCAUACAGUUCUCCACUGGCAGCGAAAAGGACUCAGCGACACAACAAUGUUAGAAGACUGGAGGUCGUCCUUGGUUUACAGCCUCCACCAAACCCAAAAUUUAUCUUGCUCGGUGAGAGAUGGUUAAGAGAGCUUUGCCCCGUUUUACGACCAUUCCUGCCGCCAUUGUUAAGUGAGUCAAUGCGGUGGGUCAGUUAGUGACACGGUCGUUAAGCGAAGCCGGAUUUCCCCGUUGACUUUGCUGGUCGGAAGGUCGCCAAAGGGGAAACCACGCGAGUGGUCCGGGAACGCGGCAACCGUCAAUUCAGCCACAAAUCCGGCCAUUCACAUGGCUGUGCUGGUUUUGCAGCCCCCACCCCAGCCUUGGCAGGAAGGAAGCCCCCGUCAGCCAAGAGCCCCUGCCCACCGUGGCUGGAGGGUGGCCUUCGCCCUCGCCACUGUCCCCCCUGACCCGUGGCCCCUCCAUGUGACUCACGCCGACAAGAGGACCUCGUUCGAUGCUCCUCCGAAGACUGCCACAAUUUGCCACAACUGUCUUGCUAAGGUUGUGGGAAGUGUCACGUUAGCAAAAAGCUCUGGUCAAGUGGCAAGGGGUUCCCCAGAGCCUAACGACUCUCGUAAAAACGGUCAUAAGAUCAAGUCAUGCAAUGAUUUGACUUACGACCUCAAUGAGUUACCACCACAAUUCUGGGGGCUCAAUUUUCGUGGUAAGUGGAGGCGGCUGGUGAAUUCUGGGGAGUUGAAGUUCACCCCUCUUAAAGUGGCUGAGAUUGAGAAACGCUAAUUUAGGAAACGGAAAGUGAUGCAAUUAACUGCCAAACAACCUCAGAUGCAAGAAUGGAACAAAAUAUCAGCAGUGUUGUAUAAAAUAUACAUAUAUUACUGCAAUGUACAUGAGUAUCCCCCAAAUCCCCAAAAUUUUAACCUUAGACUGGCUACUGUAGACCUCACCCCAUUCCUAAGAGGCCUGUAAGGGGCGUGCAUAAGAGCACCAGCCUGCCUACCGUCCCUGUCCUAAUGUUCCCUUUAAUUGUAUUCAUUUUAUGUAUUCAAUUCAUGCUUAUAUUUAUAUAUAUUAUCUAAUACCUA